UCUCGUGCGUUGAGCGCGAACGAGGGGCUAUUUUCUUAUGCCGGACCCAUCUUCACGCGCUCGGCAAACAAAUACCCGACAAAACGGUCCCUCGCGGCACGAGCUCUCUCGUGCUUGCGCUCGUGCUCGCCCAACCUCCUAACAACCAAGCGAACAUCGAUGUCGUUUACCGAUUAGAGACAAAAAAAGAGAGAGAGAGAGAGAGAGAGAGAGAGGGGGAAGAAAGACUUGGCCAUAUCGUUUUCAUUUGUUUAUUUGAAAUCUAAUCGGUUCGAUAAUUCCUUCGUAGAAUAUACUUUCGUGGGAGAUACUCGCGUUCUAUACUCGGCUAACUCGACCGUUAUUUAUUUACCGUACUUUAUUCACUCGUUCACUGAUCUAUUUUCUUUCUCGAGUGAGCCUUACGGUUUAAUCAAAUGACUGUCAGUAGUGACACAGUUAUGCCAAUCUAGGGGAAAAUGUUAUUAGUCAUUUUUAAGAUUUUCUCUCGAGUACUUCUUCAAAGUUAAGAUCCAAACCUAACUGACUCUUCAAACAUAUAGUUUACUUAACAGACAAAUACUUUUCUACGAUCCCCAUAUCAGCUUUUGGCACGCAGCAAUGUUAAAACAGCAUCACAUUGAUUCGAAAGUUUACCGCUUUCGCCGAGCACGAAUGAAAGUAUGGCUUGGUUCUAAUGCAUUUCAAAGAAAAAUGGACGAUCUCACGUGACGGUCUAGACGAGCGCGUUUCCACGAAAAGGCUCGAUAUCGUUACACGCAACGGCUAUUGGAAAUCUUAACCUAUUAACGUUUUGAUUGAUAUGAAGAAGAAAAAGGAAAGAAAGAGAAUAGAAAAAUCGAAGGACCAUAAAACUAUCGAAAGUAUCUAACCGCGUUAUUUAAGUUUGGAUUUCUUUGAACAACAAUUUCAAAAGCUUAGUAUACGUGUCAAAGAUAAUGAUGAGAUACCAGAAAGAAUUCGAUAACGUUAAAAAGGUACAAGGAGGUUAAGCGGCAAGUUAAACGGAUCGAUCUAGAAGCUUCCUUCCGUUCAAAUUCCCCGGGCGUCGUCCUUUCACGCGGCUCUACAACACCGGCCGAGCCAGUCGUCGUUGUCGUCGUCGUCGUCGCUGUCAUCGGUCCAAUGGCAGAGUUCUCACUCGGGGGAGAGAGGAAGAGAAAGAAUAGAUUCUCCCAAUCGGUUAAGGGCGGUCAGAGUAGAGAGGUGGAGGUAUCGCGUGGCACGGGCCACGACGAACUACACAACGACGACGACGACGACGACGACGACAACAACACCAAGUGGAGGAGGGCGUCGAAACCGGAAGUGGUCCAUCGAGAAUGGGAGUUGCCUUGACAACCACGAUCUGCUUUAACUCCCGUUCGAUCAUAACGCCACCGUCACCGCCAUCGUCACCGCCACCGUCAUCACCACCGCCGCCGUCGUCAUCGUCGUCUCUCUUCGCGUCAUUUGAAAGCAGUCUAUUAUUUGGGGUCGCUGCAUCCUCCUGUGCAAGACUCUCUGUGCCGAUCCCUAACGAUUCUUCCCGAUCUACCUCGAACCUCACCGAAUAUUUCUGUUCGAACGCGUCUGCUCGUGCCACUGGACGCGUCCAUCGCUCGAGGACAGAACAGGAUUGUUUGCGCGUCAUCGAAUUAAACUGAUAUCAUUUAAUGUAAAUAAACAUUUAAAAGAUGA